AGCAGAGCUAGAACCCGGGCUCCAGUUUUCACCCAGGAGACAGGAGGAUUCUGGGUGGAAGGGCAUGAGGGACUGGGGUCCCCCCAGAAGGAGCGCCCCAGGACGAUGCCACACAAGAGAGUCUUCAGAGACUGGAAAUGCUUGCCAGGAAGGAAGAACCACUUUCUGUCCUCCAUCCUCAGGAGCACAGAAGGGUGAAGCUGAGCCCACAUAGAGAAGCAUCUCAUGCUGUCUGCAGCGGCUGCAGCGCUCUCCUGGGGCAGGAGAUGCUCAAAGGUCAACAAGACUUUGAAAAGGGGCUGGGAGAAAAGCCCCCAGUGCUGGCUCUGGACUCACUAUCCCAGGGCUCCUAAAGGGCUAAACAUGACUAGAUUGUAGUGAGCCUUUCCUAACAUGCAAAGAAGCAUCCAGGGAUAAUGUCUAAAUACAGAUGUGCUAUUUCUCUCCUC
rnacentral:lncRNA from 1 species